rnacentral:pre_miRNA from 1 species
AGUGACCACCGACGUGCGUAGCGACGCACGUCGUUAGUCACUCACUU